UGCCAGCCGCCGCGGUAAUACGGAGGGUGCAAGCGUUACUCGGAAUUACUGGGCGUAAAGAGCGUGUAGGCGGAUAGAUAAGUUGGAAGUGAAAUCCUAUGGCUCAACCAUAGAACUGCUUCCAAAACUGUCUAUCUAGAAUAUGGGAGAGGUAGAUGGAAUUUCUGGUGUAGGGGUAAAAUCCGUAGAGAUCAGAAGGAAUACCGAUUGCGAAGGCGAUCUACUGGAACAUUAUUGACGCUGAGGCGCGAAGGCGUGGCUAGCGAACGGGAUUAGAUA
rnacentral:rRNA from 1 species